AGAAAGUUUGAUAGGCUACACAGCAAAUUAUCAAUAAUUCAAUAUUAACCCUGUACACUUCAGUAGAUUUUUGUCUUGACUCCACCAAAUUCACAAAAAAUAAGAAUAUGGCACAAGUAUGUAUUUGUAACGAGAACAGCCUUCAUAGUUGGAUGUUACAGAAUCUAAAGCAUCAUGGGUGAUUUUGUUCUUCGUACUCCA
rnacentral:lncRNA from 1 species